rnacentral:rRNA from 1 species
CGUGUAGGCGGUCCGCUAAGUCUGAUGUGAAAGCCCGGGGCUCACCCCGGAAGGGCAUUGGAAACUGGCGGACUCGAGUCCCGGAGAGGAGGGUGGAAUUCCUGGUGUAGCGGUGAAAUGCGUAGAUAUUAGGAGGAACACCGGUGGCGAAGGCGGCCCUCUGGACGGUGACUGACGCUGAGACGCGAAAGCGUGGGGAGCAAACA